GCCGGGCGUGGUGGCGCACGCCUUUAAUCCCAGCACUCGGGAGGCAGAGGCAGGUGGAUCUCUGAGUUCGAGGUCAGCCUGGUCUACAAAGUGAGUUCCAGGACAGCCAGGGCGACACAGAGAAACCCUGUCUGGAAAAACCAAAAAUAAAAUAAAAUAAAAUAAAAUAAAUAUUUUCAUUUGGUUUUGUUUUGAGACAGGGAUUCUCAUGUAGUCCUGGCUGUCCUGGAACUCACUCUGGAGACCAGGCUGGCCUC
rnacentral:lncRNA from 1 species